rnacentral:rRNA from 1 species
CACUCCUACGGGAGGCAGCAGUAGGGAAUCUUCCACAAUGGGUGCAAACCUGAUGGAGCAAUGCCGCGUGAGUGAAGAAGGUCUUCGGAUCGUAAAGCUCUGUUGUUAGAGAAGAACACGUGCUAGGUAACUACUAGCGCCUUGACGGUAUCUAACCAGAAAGUCACGGCUAACUACGUGCCAGCAGCCGCGGUAAUACGUAGGUGACAAGCGUUGUCCGGAUUUAUUAGGCGUAAAGGGAGCGCAGGCGGUCUGUUUAGUCUAAUGUGAAAGCCCACGGCUUAACCGUGGAACGGCAUUGGAAACUGACAGACUUGAAUGUAGAAGAGGAAAAUGGAAUUCCAAGUGUAGCGGUGGAAUGCGUAGAUAUUUGGAGGAACACCAGUGGCGAAGGCGAUUUUCUGGUCUAACAUUGACGCUGAGGCUCGAAAGCGUGGGGAGCGAACAGGAUUAGAAACCCCGGUAGUCCCAU